UUCUGUUUGGAUCAUGGUUUCUUUAUGAACAUAUUCACUGAACAUGUUGCUACCCUAUUACAGAUCUUACCAACGUCAUCAACAGUCAAGGCAGACAUCUUUCUUCAAGAAAUCUGCCCAAAAGGAAAAACACUGAAAUUGGACCAGUAAAGCUGCAAGACUUUGUCGGCCAGUCAAAAGUGGACGCUGCAAUCCAAGGUGAAACUUUCUUUCUCAUGGUGGGGCACACGCAUGAAGAUUUGGAUCAACUGUUAAGUGUUUAGUGCAAGGGAACUUAGACAGAAGCCUGCAACAACCCGCGAUGCCCUCCUUCAAGAUUGGGGACAUCCGGACACCCACCACCAAGCUAUCAGACUUCAAGCCCUUCAUGCCUGCCCCAAGGGAAGCGACAACCCUCCCAACUAAAGUUCAAGAGGCAAUAGAGAAGAACAAUGAUAAACUGCAAAAACAAUCAAAGAUCACUCUGACAAAGCACCGAAGACAAGCGUCAGUAUCAGAACAAUAAAGAAGGAGCAGCAAGUUUUGCUGAAAUGAACAUAUUUUUUGUCUAAGCUAUGUGGCUGAGAUAUUGCCGAGGAUUGCAUUGCAGGAGUUUUGUACUUUGUAUGUUUUUGUUUCUUAGUAAAGCUGUGUAUUUAGAAUUGUAUAUAUAUAUACAUAUAUAAGAUGAGAUGUGCACAAAGAAAUUUAUGAAACAAUAUAUGCAGUUAUAUUGUAAAAUCUUGGUUGUGUUC